rnacentral:rRNA from 1 species
UACGUAGGGGGCAAGCGUUGUCCGGAAUCAUUGGGCGUAAAGGGCUCGUAGGUGGCCAACUAAGUCAGACGUGAAAUCCCUCGGCUUAACCGGGGAACUGCGUCUGAUACUGGAUGGCUUGAGUUCGGGAGAGGGAUGCGGAAUUCCAGGUGUAGCGGUGAAAUGCGUAGAUAUCUGGAGGAACACCGGUGGCGAAGGCGGCAUCCUGGACCGACACUGACACUGAGGAGCGAAAGCCAGGGGAGCAAACGGG